GCGCGAAAACUUUACAAUGCUGGCAACAGCGAUAAGGGAACCUCGAGUGCCAGGUUACAAAUCUGGCUGUCGAGAUGCCUAAAAAGCAUUUCAUAGCAAGGGCCGGGCAAGACCGGUGCCAGCCGCCGCGGUAACACCGGCGGCUCGAGUGGUAACCGUUAUUGUUGGGUCUAAAGGGUCUGUAGCCGGCCGGAUAAGUCUCUUGAAAAAUCUGGCAGCUUAACUGUCAGGCUUUCAGGAGAUACUGUCUGGCUCGAGGCCGGGAGAGGUGAGAGGUACUUCAGGGGUAGGGGUGAAAUCUUGUAAUCCUUGAAGGACCACCAGUGGCGAAGGCGUCUCACCAGAACGGACCUGACGGCAAGGGACGAAAGCUAGGGGCACGAACC
rnacentral:rRNA from 1 species